AGCAGCCGCGGUAAUUCCAGCUCCAAUAGCGUAUAUUAAAGUUGUUGCAGUUAAAAAGCUCGUAGUUGAAUUUCGGGGUUAGUAGGCUGGUCAUGCCACCGGUAUGUACUGGUCUUUCUGAUUCCUCCUUCCUGAUGAACUGUAAUGCCAUUAAUUUUGGUGUUGCAGGGAAUCUGGACUGUUACUUUGAAAAAAUUAGAGUGUUUAAAGCAGGCUAACGCUUGAAUACAUUAGCAUGGAAUAAUGAAAUAGGACGUUCGAUCCUAUUUUGUUGGUUUCUAGGAUUGACGUAAUGAUUAAUAGGGAUAGUUGGGGGCAUUAGUAUUCAAUUGUCAGAGGUGAAAUUCUUGGAUUUAUUGAAGACUAACUACUGCGAAAGCAUUUGCCAAGGAUGUUUUCAUUAAUCAAGAACGAAAGUUAGGGGAUCGAAGACGAUCAGAUACCGUCGUAGUCUUAACCAUAAACUAUGCCGACUAGGGAUCGGAUGAUGUUAAUUUUUUAAUGACUCA
rnacentral:rRNA from 1 species